CCUACGGGAGGCUGCAGUGAGGAAUAUUGGUCAAUGGCCGAAAGUCUGACCCAGCCAAGUCGCGUGAGGGAAGACGGCCCUACGGGUUGUAAACCUCUUUUGUCGGGACGCAAAGCGACCCACGUGUUGUUCAUUGAGCGUCCCCGAAUAACAAGCCUCGGCUCACUCCGUUCCCUCAGCCGCGGUAAUACAGCGGAUGAAAGCGUUGUCCGGAUUUUUUGGGUUGAAAGGGUGCGAAGACGGAGGGGCAAGUAAGAGGUAAAAUUGCGGGGGUAAACCCCGUACUGCCGUUGAAACUGCAUCCCUUGAGUGCGCGAGAGGCAUGCGGAAUGCGUGGUGUAGCGGUGAAAUGCAUAGAUAUUACGAAGAACGCCGAUGGCGAAGGCAGCAUACCGGAGAGCAACUGACGCUCAGGCACGAAAGCGUGGGGAUCGAACAGGAGUAGAUACCCUAGUAGUC
rnacentral:rRNA from 1 species